UUUUUUUUUUUUUUUUUUAAUAAUCCAAAUUGUUGCCUCUGAAAGCAAUCGUUUUUGCUAAUUAGAUCCAUGCAGUGAUAGGGACAUAUGGUCAAUGAAUAGAACCUUCUGUCAGUGGAGAGCUUAAUUGUCUGCAUCUUUGAUUUGCAAAUAACCAUAUGAAUAUUAGGCACUUUGUGUGAUAUGAUAACUAAGCCUGCUUAUGUUGUUAUGUUUCUUUUGGAUUGCAUUGAAUAACAUGGUGCUGCAGGUUGGUGACUACUCCCUUUUGAAAUAAGGAACUGAUCCAAGAGCUUUUGAUUUGUCUUCAUUAACUUGAAAGUGGUGCUGGUAUUUGUAUUAUUCGGUGGCUCAUUUAAGCCUAAUUUAGUUGCAUCUGUAAUAAGCCUCAAUUCUGUCCAUUUUGCGAUGAAAAUAGUUGGUGCAGUUUCAAUUAUGUGUCUCCUGGGAAUAAGAGCUUGUACAUGAUAUGUUUAUAUUGAACGACCAUUGGCUAACCUGGUUAUUUAGUGAUCCCUCUGCAUUUUCUGGUGCCUCCAAACAUUAAAGAGCAGCUGAUGCUGUGAUUGUAGUGGAUGCCCUACAUAGGUUGUCUUGCUGUUGUUUAUAGUUCACUCAAUGUGAUUUUUCAUAGCAGGAGUGAUUAAAAUGCAUAUGCUUGUUUCAGGAUCUAGCUAAUGCAGGAACCACCAAGCGGCCAACUUGCUGUGUUUUGGUGCUAACUAAACCCACAAAAGGGGAACUUGGGCAGGAGGAACAAGAGAAGCUUAAGGCGGAAUAUGAUCAAGUCACAUCAGAUGUAACUGAACUUGCUAACUCCAUGUUCUAGAUCAAGGACUUUAUUUGUAUUAAAUCGUCAUGCACUCUAGUGUGGAGAUUAUGCCUGAUUCUAUCUCUAAUUUAUCACAUGUUUUACCCAAGGAGAGAAGCAUCUUCACUGUUGUCUUUUGUCUAUAUUUGUUCCUGGCAUUCAGUAACUCAACAGAUUUAGACCCUAGCAGAGAAUUUCGCGAUAGAAUUUAUCUUCCCGUCAAAUGAUGCAACCUAAAAUGCUGAGGUGCAUUUUCAUCCAGACAUUCGUAUUUACAAUGUUUGGAGCCAUGUUUGAAAAAAAAAUCCCACAAGAUUACCAAUAAAAACCCAGGUCUGCUCUUACAGAGUUAAACUUGUCGAGACUCCGUGCUUUUCCAGCUGUUCAACUAUCGAGCAGCUUUCGAGGCCCGCUGAAGUGCAUACGUUAGCAUUUAGUCUGCUGUUUACCAUCUGUAUCCUGCCCUUUUUAACCAUAACAUGAUGUUGAAAAUUUUAAGGAUUUUAUUUCCAUGCUGUAUCUGCUUCAGUGGUUUUAGACGUCUGCAUAUAUUUGAAAAUUCCCAGGUAAUUUUCCUUUUUCCUCAAAAAGAAAAAAAUCCGAAAUUUACUGGAAAUCCUUCGCUUCUCAGGACAAUAAACUAGACUCUUGAAUGAUUGUAUCAUGGAAAAUCUUAGCAAGAAGCAUAAAAACAAGAUUGUGAAAAGGUUGAGACUAGAAUAAUUAAAUAUUCUUGUCAAAAGUUAAAAGCCGCGCAAGUGCAUUUUUGCUUGCUAUCUCUCUCUCGGUUUCAGUAGUUAUGUUUUUUCGCUAAGCCACACCUUCCAAUACCAAUACAGAGCUAUAGAUCGAGUCCCCAGGUUCUGUAUUUCUCCAUACAAACUGAGGUUAACUAUACCGCUUUAUACAUACAUUUUUCUGUCACUUAAACAACAUAGGAUAAGCUACCAAAGCACUAGGUUUUUUCAAAACACAACAUAUACAUUCUCCUCUAUUUCUAUUUAUUCUAUGCUAUAUAUGAUCUCCCAGUUUGCUGCAGGAUGAGGAUUAGCACAGGGUCAAUGUUGUGAUGAGAAUGUUCUGAACAACAAAACACCUAUGCCAC
rnacentral:lncRNA from 1 species